AUGUGCAUGCCUAAAUAUAUGGGAGGAUUGGGCUUUAGAGAUUUCAAAAUUUUCAACUUGUCCCUCUUGGCGAAGCAAGCGUGGAGGAUACUUGAGAACCCAGAUUAUUUAAGUUGUAGGAUCCUGAAGGUCGCUUAUUUCCCUAACUCAGAGUUUCUGGAUGCCGAGAUUGGUUGUCACCUCUCUCAAAUCUAGGGAUCCUUGUUAGAGGGCCAGGACAUUAUGAAACAAGGCCUAAUCAGAAGGAUACGUAAUGGAAAUGCUACAGAAAUUUGGAACAUGAAUUGGAUCCCAAGGCAAGAAAAUAUGCGCCCAAUCGUUUGUCUCACUAGUAGAAGAUUCCCCAAGCUGGUGAGUGAGCUAAUUUAUGGACCAGAAGCUAGAUGGAAUGAGGAAAUGAUUGGGCAUGUGUUCUGUUCGCACACGAACACGUCACUGUGUACCUCCAACGCCGGGGGUGAUGCACCGCAGCUCACGGCGAAGGAGCCCCGCCGGAAGCGCGGUACGCAAGACAAUCCGGCGGGCGCUUUUGUAGUCCCGAAACCCCACACGCCCGGGAGGGACCCCGUCUGGACACGCGGAGGCUAUGGGCUGCCCUAG
rnacentral:rRNA from 1 species